rnacentral:rRNA from 1 species
GAUGAACGCUGGCUACAGGCUUAACACAUGCAAGUCGUGGGGAAACGGCAUUAUGUGCUUGCACAUUCUGGACGUCGACCGGCGCACGGGUGAGUAUCGCGUAUCCAACCUGCCCCUUACUUGGGGAUACCCCGUUGAAAGACGGCCUAAUACCCGAUGUGUUUCAUUGACGGCAUCCGAUAUGAAACAAAGGUUUUCCGGUAAGGGAUGGGGAUGCGUCUGAUUAGCUUGUUGGCGGGGCAACGGCCCACCAAGGCGACGAUCAGUAGGGGUUCUGAGAGGAAGGUCCCCCACAUUGGAACUGAGACACGGUCCAAACUCCUACGGGAGGCAGCAGUGAGGAAUAUUGGUCAAUGGACGCAAGUCUGAACCAGCCAAGUAGCGUGCAGGAUGACGGCCCUAUGGGUUGUAAACUGCUUUUAUGUGGGAAUAAAUUGGCGCACGUGUGCGCCAUUGCAUGUA